UGGCCUCAACAGUUCCUGGGUGGAGCUAC
rnacentral:piRNA from 1 species